ensembl:ncRNA F17C11.21 ncRNA
AAGAAAAAUUAAAAGAAGGAAACUACUGAUAAUGAUAUCAAAUGAAAUGAAAAUACCAGCAACAAUCUCCUCUGACAGGGAGAUGGAGAAACAGCAGGUCGAAGGAGGUUUCUCUGCAGUCGUCUCUGUCUCUUCUAAAAAUUGUAGAGACUGUGAAAAGUGGAGAGACUUAGAUCAAAUGUGAUGCAAUAGUUU